AGCGGCGUAAGGGGCAGUAAGGCAUGGGUACCUACCCGGGGGUUCGGGAUAGCCACCAGAGAUGGUGGGUAAUACCGGAUGACCUCGUGAGAGCAAAGAUUCAUCGCCCCCGGAGGGGCCCAUGUGAUAUUAGCUAGUUGGUGGGGUAACGGCCCACCAAGGCGAAGAUGUCUAGCGGGUGUGAGAGCACGACCCGCGCCACUCGCACUGAGACACUGGCGAGACACCUACGGGUGGCUGCAGUCGAGGAUCUUCGGCAAUGGGCGAAAGCCUGACCGAGCGAUGCCGCGUGCGCGACGAAGGCCUUCGGGUUGUAAAGCGCGAAAGUGGGGAGAAAACCGAAAGGCUGAUCUAUCCACAGUAAGCUCGGGCUAAGUUCGUGCCAGCAGCCGCGGUAAGACGAACCGAGCGAACGUUGUUCGGAAUCACUGGGCUUAAAGGGCGCGUAGGCGGGCUGUCAAGUCUGGGGUGAAAUCCCGCGGCUCAACCGCGGAACUGCCUCAGAUACUGACGGUCUCGAGGGGGGUAGGGGCGAGCGGAACUGAUGGUGGAGCGGUGAAAUGCGUUGAUAUCAUCAGGAACUCCGGUGGCGAAGGCGGCUCGCUGGACCCCUUCUGACGCUGAGGCGCGAAAGCCAGGGGAGUAAACGGGAUUAGAUACCCCGGUAGUCCUGGCCCUAAACGUUGGGUACUAGGUAGUA
rnacentral:rRNA from 1 species